rnacentral:rRNA from 1 species
CCUACGAGUGGCAGCAGUAGGGAAUUUUCGGCAAUGGGGGGAACCCUGACCGAGCAACGCCGCGUGAACGAAGAAGUUAUUCGUAAUGUAAUGUUCUUUUAACAGGGAAGAAAGAGAAAUUUGACGGUACCUGAAGAAUAAGCUCCGGCUAACUACGUGCAGCAGCCGCGGUAAUACGUAGGGAGCCAGCUGUAUCCGGAAUUAUUGGGCGAAAAGGGGGCGUAGAUGGCAUAGUAAGUCUUUUGUAAAAAUGCUGGGCUAAAACCAGUAGGGAAAAAGAUACUGCAAAGCUAGAAUAUGACAGAGGCAAGUGGAACUACAUGUGUAGCGGUAAAAUGCGUAAAUAUAUGUAAGAACACCAGUGGCGAAGGCGGCUUGCUGGGUCGAUACUGACAUUGAGGCACGAAAGCGUGGGGAGCAAACAGGAUUAGAUACCCCAGUAGUC